AGUAUAACAAGUCUCAUGUUGACACGCACAGUCUUACGCAUGUUUUUCUUUCUGAUUUAUUCGUUCUUAAUAAUCUCACUAUGUUUGACAAUAAUUAAGCUGCCUUACUUCAACAGAAAAGACAUAAUUGAAUAUCAAGGUAUCAAUGUCUUCUUAUUUUAUAAAGGUUAUUUUGUAACGCAUUCUAUCGAAUAUUGAUUUUAUUAAGAAGAUAAACCACAAAUUAUUUAUUUAUAGCAGCUAAAAAUGAAUCUAUACUAGGAUAUAAUUUUACAACAUAUGUUGUAGUUUUACUUCCAUUUCAUGCAAACGUGAAUGCAGAUCUCGAGUAUGAAGAAAAAGGAAGAGCGUGCUGGAUAAAGCAACCAGAGCAACUAAUUCACUUGUCCUAUAUUAUUAAAUAAUUUAUAUAUGUAUGUAUAUUAAAAAUUAGACAGACACAUAUACAUCAUAAGGUAAAAAAACAUUGGACAGUAUUCAUACUUAAAAAAUUAAACAGUGCAUUAAUAAUUGGAAUAAAGUGACAAGAAUUUUACGUAUGACCCGUUUUCACGAACCGUAAAUUUUCAUAAAUUUAUUAAAUUAAAUCUUUAUUAUAGAUAUAAUUAACCAUAAAUCAUGAAAAUUUUAAAAAAGGUAUGAUUUUUUUGUAAGAUAAAAAUGACAGAUAAAUGGAAGAUUAAGAUUACCUUUUUGGUACGGUCAAUCGUCUUUGUCUCCACAUGUUAUCUUUGACCAUCAUUUCAAAACUUUUCAUGUUUUUAAAUUCCAAAGAAACAAAUAUAUCAAUGUAUUAAAGAAUAAGAAUUAAUGUUUGCAAAAAAAUAAGAUAAACUAAUAAGGUUAAAA